AAGAUUUUAAGUUAUAUAAACUAGCAUCCUUCAAAGUUGCCAAUAAAAGACAAUCUUUUAAAUCUUA
rnacentral:tRNA from 1 species